GUUUACGGCCAUACCAGCCUGGGUACGCCCGAUCUCGUCUGAUCUCGGAAGCUAAGCAUUGUCGGGCCGGUUAGUACUUGGAUGGGAGACCGCCUGGGAAUACCAGGUGCUGUAAGCU
rnacentral:rRNA from 1 species